AUGGCCCUGGUGGCGGCACAGCUACUACCUGAUGGCGUCCUCGCCAGCGUCCUCCGGCGCCUGGCGCCGCGCAGCCUCGCCGCAUCUCGCUGUGUCUGCAAAAGCUGGUGCGACGUCGUCGACGACUGGCGCCUGCUGCGGACGGAUCUCCUCCCGCUAUCCCUCUCCGGGAUCUUCUUCAUGGAGGAGAUUUUUCCGGCCCUCCCGAAAUUCUUCGCGAGCCCGUCGAUAGAUGGCAAGAUCGCAGCCAGGCUCGACUACCUGGACACCAAAUUUGAGGGCUAUCUGCAUAUUAUGGAUCAUUGCAAUGGACUUCUCUUGCUUUGGGAUCAACUGGUGGUCAAUCCAGCAACUCGACAAUGGGUGCGUCUGCCUCAUCCCCCCUGCGCCGGGUUGGAGGACUUCGCCGACGACAUGUGCCUUGCUUUCGACCCCACUGUGUCGCCCCAUUACGAGGUACUUCUUCUUCCCAAAGUUCCUCACAAGUUGGGUUCCAUGACUGUAUUCACGGAGGAAUCAGAGUGGCCGCCUUCUUGGUAUACAAUACGUGUCUUCUCUUCAAGGACAUGGACAUGGGAGGAGAGGGUGUUGGUCCGGAGAGGGGAGGCUGCAGGGGCCAUUGCUGACAUGCAGUCACCUAGGGCUAGGGAACCAGAGCAUCGCUAUACCGUCUACUGGAAAGGAGAACUUUAUGUGCACUGCCAAAAUGACUCCAUUAUGCGCAUAACCUUGUCGAAUGGUGAGUAUGAAGUGAUUAAACCGCCUACAAGCAUGGAUGAGUUUACAGAAUUUUAUAUUGGGAAAUCGAAGAAGGGGCUGUACUGUGCUUUAAUUUAUAAAGAUAGAUCAUACCGACUUCAGGUUUGGUUGCUUAGUGAAUUGAGGGGUAAAAUGGAGUGGGGGUUGAAGAUUGACACCAGCCUUGUGCCAGUGGUGGCAAUGUUUUCUUGGUUGUCUCACGAAGAAAAUUCCGGUCCGUGGAUCUUACAUGGUGGUAAUUAUGAUGGAGAUGGUAAAAAAGUGAUCGUGGAAGAUAAAUGUGAAUGGGACUUCAACAAUGGUAUUCUCCUUGAGGCAAGAGAUGGGGAUGAAUGCGACUUUGUCUCUGGUAGUAUUUAUUUCCUUGGAUUUCAUCCGUAUGAUGAGAUUGCCUUCUUGUGGGUGUCAAGAGCAAGAGUAGUUGCCUAUCAUUUGAGUAGCUCGAAAGUUCAAGACUUGGGCAUGUUACACGUACAAUGUGUAGGAGAUUCCUUUCCAUAUACACCAUAUUGGACAGGAGAGUUAUUUGAAAAGCAUUAA
rnacentral:rRNA from 1 species